GAAACUUACUAAUGUAUUGAACCAUGGUACACUUACUGAAAAAGAAUGAACUGAAAAACCCUUAUAAACAGGAUACAAAGAUAUAGGAAGGUAGAGUGGAAAGAAUAAGGAAGAAGAACUGAAGUUAUCUAUAAAUUUCUAUUUGAUAAGAUAGACAAAGAGAAGAAGGAAUAAAUUGAAAGUGGCAUUUAUGGAGGAUUGUGUGCACUAGGCGUAGGAAGGGGCACAAGCUAUGCAAGCAAGAAAGAGAAUGGCAGAAGAAGCACCAUCCUCUUCAAGAUUGGAGCUGCUCCUCUUGAACUUGCCAGCUUUUCCUU
rnacentral:lncRNA from 1 species